GAUGAACGCUGGCGGCGUGCCUAAUACAUGCAAGUCGAGCGAACGGACGAGAAGCUUGCUCCUCUGAUGUUAGCGGCGGACGGGUGAGUAACACGUGGAUAACCUACCUAUAAGACUGGGAUAACUUCGGGAAACCGGAGCUAAUACCGGAUAAUAUUUUGAACCGCAUGGUUCAAUAGUGAAAGACGGUUUUGCUGUCACUUAUAGAUGGAUCCGCGCUGCAUUAGCUAGUUGGUAAGGUAACGGCUUACCAAGGCAACGAUGCAUAGCCGACCUGAGAGGGUGAUCGGCCACACUGGAACUGAGACACGGUCCAGACUCCUACGGGAGGCAGCAGUAGGGAAUCUUCCGCAAUGGGCGAAAGCCUGACGGAGCAACGCCGCGUGAGGGAUGAAGGUCUUCGGAUCGUAAAACUCUGUUAUUAGGGAAGAACAAAUGUGUAAGUAACUGUGCACAUCUUGACGGUACCUAAUCAGAAAGCCACGGCUAACUACGUG
rnacentral:rRNA from 1 species